rnacentral:rRNA from 1 species
CGGAGGAAAAGAAACCAACAGGGAUUACCUCAGUAACGGCGAGUGAAGCGGUAACAGCUCAAAUUUGAAAUCUGGCUCUUUUAGGGUCCGAGUUGUAAUUUGUAGAAGAUGCUUCGAGUGUAGCUCCGGUCUAAGUUCCUUGGAACAGGACGUCAUAGAGGGUGAGAAUCCCGUAUGUGACUGGUAGCUUUCGCUCAUGUGAAGCUCUUUCGACGAGUCGAGUUGUUUGGGAAUGCAGCUCAAAAUGGGUGGUAUAUUUCAUCUAAAGCUAAAUAUUGGCCAGAGACCGAUAGCGCACAAGUAGAGUGAUCGAAAGAUGAAAAGCACUUUGGAAAGAGAGUUAAACAGUACGUGAAAUUGUUGAAAGGGAAGCGCUUGCAACCAGACUUGCACUUUAGCGAUCAUCCGGGGUUCUCCUCGGUGCACUCGUUCUUGUUCAGGCCAGCAUCGGUUUCGGUGGUGGGAUAAAGGCCUUGGGAAUGUAGCUUCUUUCGGGGAGUGUUAUAGCCCUCGGUGCAAUGCCGCCUAUCGGGACCGAGGACCGCGCUUCGGCUAGGAUGCUGGCGUAAUGGUUGUAAGCGACCCGUCUUGA